GAGGAGGGUGGGCCCCACUUAACCAAAAAUAUGUUCUCCAUGUGAAAGCAGGGCAGCAAUGCUGGCCAAACAAAAAUCUUUAUUUCUUAAAUGAGGCUUGAAGAAUAUACCUGUCUGUUGCCUCCCACUAUCGCUUUUUCCUUCUUCCAUCCUAAUAUCCUGUUUGGAUUGUGGUGGAUGUUAGUGCUUUUCAUCAGUAUUUCCUUGUCUCUUUUCCUUUGGGACACACGGGAGGAUUGUGCUUUAUUGCCUUCUAGAGGUUAGGCACAGACAUAGGACUUGCUUUGGCUAAUGAAAUCUGCACAGCAGUAACAUGUCAUUUCUAGGUGGAAGCUUACAGGACUGGGGCAUGGAUCUCCAAGCUCUCUCCUCGCCUGCCACGAUGAAACUUGUGUUGGUUUAGGGGGGCCACAUGUUCAGCCUAGAUCACUGAGCCAACUUGUGGAGAACAGCUGCCCUGCAAAGUCAUCCUGAAUCUCAGUGGACUUUAUGUGCAGUUAAAGGAGGAAAGCAACAUGCCGUGUCCUCACCAGGACUCUGGAUAAGUGUCCUAGUCUAAGCACUGUCAGACUCGCAGCCACUCAGCCCGUCUCUCCACUGUGCCUCACGUCGGGGAUAAGCUGCUUCUCACUGUAAAGGGCUUGGUCCCAAGAAAUCGGCUCCUGACUCUACCUUGAUCUUGCAUCCUAUUCAUAUUUUCUUUAAAAAGAGAAGUGAGCUGUAAAACAGCCUCAGGCAGGUCCUUCAGGAGGUGUUCCAGAAGAAGGCAUUGUUGUCAUAGGAGAUGACAGCUUCAUGCCUGUUAUUGCACCUAAAGACCUUCCAGUGGGACAAGAUGUGGCGUUAGAAGACAGUGAUAUUGAUGAUCCUGACCUGUGUAGG